CAAACAGGCUCAUUGGUUUCGCACUAGAUAGCACAGCCACAAAGUCAAUAUUGGCUAUAGUAGAAAUUAAUGGAAAUAAAUAGCUUUUUGGUCUCAAUUUAAAGUUAGGGUUGGGCAUAAUGUUAGCAGUGUGUUUAACAGUUUAAGGUUAUGUUUAAAAUAAUAUUUUAAGAAGAUAAAUUGUGGGCGGGGUUUAUGACUUUGUGGCUGUGAUAACUAGUGACAACGGAUCAAAACACAGUACGUUCAUCAACCAGCGAAAUUAGUCUUCUCCCUAGUAGGCAUAGACAGUGACAAUCAGGCGGUGGCACAUCUGCUGCACGACAGUCUUGUCCCGAUGCCGUUGACCGCUGAUCUGACGAUAUUCACUUGCUAGCACUGCAUUUAGGAGGUAACUCGAUUCAAUCUGUUCAUUAAAUAGCGACAUUUUAUUAUGUGGAUGACACAAACGACAAUUAUUUGAUGGCACUAGCUAGCUACCUGCAGAGGGAUGCUGUCAAACCAACGAUGUCAACCGGUGUUAGCUAACGUUAGCUUGACUGCUAGCAUGUCCUGCACUCAGCUACAGUGAUUGGAUAAUGGUAGCCAUUUAACUUAACCUAUGCAAACAUGCGCAAUCCGUUAUAAUGGGAUGAAACAAAUUAGCUACCUAUAUGUUAUAGUCUUGUGACUAUUUUCACGGAGGAAACGUAAUUAUGCAGUCUAGCUGAACGGCACGGUUGUAGGCAUUGAGAGUUAGUCCGGGAGUGAUUACAAUAACGUUACAUUGUAGCAAGCGUAGUGACUGGCUAGCUAAGCAAAAUGAUGUUUAUCACUUGCUGUCGCAUUAUUUUCGGCCUGAGCGUUAUUGCGGAGCCCUGCCAUGUGGUAUUGAUUCGUAUAAUGAGUGAUCAUUAUGUAAAAGGUUCAACUCGAACAAAUGAAAUCAUCAGGUGUUGGCGCGGAGAAGGAGGAGGAGGCAGAUAUUAUUGAUGAUGAGGUGCGGGUGGCAUCCCCGCUCGCAUCUGUCUCCCCAAUCCCAGCUAGUUGUUCCACCGCAGCCCGAAGGGAUGCAUCCAAGACCUCUGUCACUGGCAGGAAUCGGAGUAAAAGUAGGAGAAAACUGGGCAAAGAUGACACCUGCACUAAACAGGAGUCAGACCCCGCACCGCAAGGGACAAUAGUAGCUGCCAAUGCGGGGAAACGCUUGAAUCAAAUAGACAAUGAGCGGCAGAUGCUUCAAAUCAAAGGGAUUGGGAAAAUUCUGCUGAAACAAAACUGAAACGAAUGUAACAUUGUUGCGCCCAACCAAUGGCCGAAAGACAUCCAAGUAGGCCCGUGGACAAUCCAAAGCCAAAACCUCUCUGGAGGCACUGAAGCUCAGCACCAGGUAGCUCAAAUGGAAAGAGGUCUUGAUAAAGAAUAGCAUAGUAGGCCUACAACACAUUGAUGAGGGGACACUGUCUCUGUUAACCCUGUCACUCCAAUGUGACAGCUCUAUGGCCCAGUAUAAACAGCUACACAGCCUUAACCUUGGACUGUGGUAGCUGAAAAGUUGUCCCAAAUGGAAAGUGAUAUCUUUAAUACAGUUAUUAGAUGGCUAAUUGAUACGGGUCCCCUCACUUCGGCAGGCGAGCUCCAUCUGUUCAGCCCUACAGGCGUUGAAUGUGGCGCAAUUAAUACCUGCUAUUGGCCGUUAUCAACAAUGUAGUUCAUUAUACACGAGGAGCAGUGGAGGGUGAAGCCAUCGGACAGCUAGAGGUAAAAUUAUUUUCACUACCACCAUGGAUGACCAUCAUGCAUCGAAAUGUAAUCCCUUCCAUGUCUGGCACAGCAGAUCUGAUCAGGUUUCAAAACUUUGUAGACAGAGGCCUUAUUAUGUUACCCUUUGUCCUGACAGAUACAUCUUCUACAAAGUCAAGGACCUAACUGAUCCUCUGUCAGUUUCAAAAGAGCUUUGAGGCGUGCGGUGCUGAGGUGUAGUGUAAGUUGGAAAGCCCAUUGACCUAAGUAUAUUAAGGCACACCCACCUUUCAGUGGCAUGAGAUAGGCCUAACAAUCAUCUUAACUUGUUGUGGGGGGCUCUUUGACCCUAGUAGGCUUUAGCCUAGUGCAUGAGAAGAGCAUCUUGAGCAAUUGAUUGAUAUCUAAUCUAUCUAAUGCGCUCUGCAUGAGUUUUUGAAGAUGUUGACCCAUAUAUAAAACUCAAUUAUGACAGUAAUUGCAUUUCAUUCCUAUGGCAGGAGCAGGUUAGUUAGUUGAUUCCAGAGCCAUUUACAGUAUGGCUCUGGUUCUCAACUCAUGUUCACUGAUAACCAGUAGGGGACAUGCAGUAUACGUUUUGCCAGUAACCUAACAUGUCAUUGGAUCUGCUUGCUGUGUAAUGCCUCAAUAAAUACUGUGUAUUUCUCUGUAUGACUGUGUAUUAGUGUGCCUAUAGAAAAUAUGUACCUUGAUUUUAGAUUUGUUUUUUUUUCACUGGCCUCCACACAAUACAUCAUAAUGUCAAAGUUGAAGUAUGUUUUUCUAAAUGUUUACAAAUUAAUAUUAAAUGAAAAUCUGAA
rnacentral:lncRNA from 1 species